CAAAAAAACAAGGCAUGACUCAACCACCACCCACUCCAACUUGACUCCUUUAAUCACGCAACUAAUAACAGGAAUCAGCAUUGAAUGACAAAUUAAGAUUUCCCUUUUGGCCUUCUUCUAGCAAAGAACAUUUCAAAGUUGAACUGAUAACGUAUCAAGUGAAGGGGAGAUUAUCACGACUAUCAGCUCACCACUGGGGCUAUAAACCACUGCUGCAGAAACAGAGGAGGAGAGAGAGGGCAAUGUGCUUUCCUGGAAGGGUGUCUUUAUAUCUUCUCCACAGAAAAGUCAUGAGUUUACCUGUAUAAAGACAAAAGCAGCAGGACCAGAGUAACCUUCCUUUAAGACAGGACACGUUCGGUUGCCUUGCUUGUAAGGAGUUGAGAUAUUUUAUUCUUGGAGAUGCAAGCCGUACGGCCACAUCCCCUUCACCGGUUUAUGUUUUCGAAACACUUGUUACUGUCGGGGGCGGAGCCAGUAAAAUUAGCCAGGGGGGCAAACUAGAAAAGUUU